rnacentral:lncRNA from 1 species
AUUAAAUGUCAAAGUCCGCAGCAAAUGGGCAUUUUGAUCAUUUCUGUUUGUUACAAAGCUAAAUCGGAAACCCUGAUGAAGUGUUUAUAAAUAAAAAGAAGAAACUAUAAAGCUACCACAGAGACUGGGAAAAAAUGAAAUAAAUGUAAAUACACAUAGCUAGUUAUUAUGGUAGCACAAAACCAAGACAAUGAACACGAACUUAUCAACAAUUAAGCAACUAACUUUACUGCAUCUGUGUUUAUACCAAUUUUGAUGUACUGUUUGUUCCAAAGGUAAUUAUCAACCCACAGCC